UACGUAGGGUGCGAGCGUUGUCCGGAAUUACUGGGCGUAAAGAGUUCGUAGGCGGUUUGUCGCGUCGUUCGUGAAAACUUGGGGCUUAACUCCAAGCGUGCGGGCGAUACGGGCAGACUUGAGUACUACAGGGGAGACUGGAAUUCCUGGUGUAGCGGUGAAAUGCGCAGAUAUCAGGAGGAACACCGGUGGCGAAGGCGGUUCUCUGGGCAUUACCUGACGCUGAGGAGCGAAAGCGUGGGGAGCGAACAGG
rnacentral:rRNA from 1 species